GGACAAUCGAGGCCAAAUUUGUUUAAAUGAGUUUUAACUGCAUUUUGAUUAAAUUAAAAUACUUUCAGAUAAACACAGUGAUGACUGUAAUAUGAUUAAUGAGUCAUACAAAAAUAAACUGAUCUAAUUUAUUCAUAGUAGCCCCAGUUAGACCUGUAGGAUUUGAUUCAUUAUUUUUCAGAUAAAUACUGUGCUUGGAUUCAGUGUUCCAGAUUAACUGCUGCCAAUUUCUGAUGUCAUUUCCCUAGGAGUUUUCAUAGUGCCCUCAGCAAUCCAUUCUGCAACUGUUCAGUCCAGCCCUGAAGUUGGGAAGACCCUCACUGUGACACGGACAAAUUGCAGAAAUAGCAAUGGGCUUCCCUGGCUGAUCGCAUUAUUUGCCAUUCUAACGUCUCGUGCAAUAACUGGCCUUGCUUUGGAAAUACUGAUACAUCUGGCCUUUCCAUAGCAGGUGCUUCUGUGCAGACUCCAGUGCCAAGAUCCAUGGUGUCCAAGUGCUGAUGGAAACUUGAAUGGGAAUUUCCACGCUUCUGGGUGUGGUGCUGAAAAGGCACACAAUGAUUUCCCUCAUCCAAGGGAGUACCACUGCUUUGGAGCGGGAUUUCUCCACAUCUGAGAGCUCCAGUCCCUUUUGAUGACUUUUUUCAGGCCUUGAGGCAUGCAGACAUGAGAGGUCACUGACAAAGCCAACAAAAAGUAACAUCCAGACCCUCUUCUGCCUGCAGCUGGUAGAGGCUGAAAUGGUUACAACUCCCUCGCUGCAAGUUACCAUUGCUCCCAUGGUCACUGCCUAAUACCUCCCAGUCUAGUAAGUUGGUUAACCUGAGCAGCUGCUUUCUACUAUCAUGACAAACAGGGUGAAGCUGCUUCAGUGUUGUCUUGCACAAUAACUGAGAAUGACUGUGGAA